AACGCACAUUGCGCCCUUUGGCAUCCCGAAGGGCAUGCCUGUUCGAGCGUCAUUUCACCAAUCAAGCCUGGCUUGGUGUUGGGUGCCGUCCCGCCCCCCGUGCGCGGACGCUCCCUAAAAUCAUCGGCGGUGCAGCACCGGCUUCGAGCGCAGCAGAUGUUCGCUCUGUGGGCCCGGUGUGGCAGCGGCCGCGACGACAACCUCUAGGUUGACCUCGGAUCAGGUAGGGAUACCCGCUGAACUUAA
rnacentral:misc_RNA from 1 species